GUGCUCGCUUUGGCAGCACAUAUACUAAAAUUGGAACGAUACAGAAAAGAUUAGCAUGGCCCCUGCACAAGGAUGACAGGCAAAUUCGUGAAGCGUUCCAUAUUUUU
rnacentral:snRNA from 1 species